rnacentral:tRNA from 1 species
GGCUGGGUAGCUCAGUGGUAGAGCAUUCGUUUCAUAAGCGAAUGGCCGAGAGUUCGAUUCUCUCCCCUGCCA